ensembl:lncRNA ENTPD1-AS1 ENTPD1 antisense RNA 1
GGGAGACUCUGGCCGCGGCGAUUCAAUAUAUCCGGAAGCAACUGUCAUGGCUGCUGUCAGUGAGGGCCCGUAAUGGAGAUCGAGUCAAGGGUUGCCCAGGGACACUUAAGAGCCUUCGGCUUCAAGGAGGCCUCUCAAAGGACAAAGGAUGAGACUGCCUGGCGGCAGAGUGCCCCCCACAAUCGUAGGAACUGUGUCGCCGCGCUUCCCGUUAACUUGCCGCUAAGUUUUUCUAGAAAAGUCGCCCUUCUUGCCAGGGGUGUCCUAUAGACUUUGUCAUGGAGUGAAACAGAAACAAAUAAUGGCCUGUCCAGAAGACAGCCAAAUACAUCCUUCAAACAGACUUCACUGCAGGAGACAGAGUGGAUUCAUCCUGUAUUCUCCAUGUAGACUUCCAUCUUCAUGAGUACUCCAAGAAGAUGGUUCAGUUGACUAUUGCAAAGAGAUCAAUAGAGUUGGCCUGGAACAAGAGAUGCCCUUGAAUGCAAGUUGUAACAACUGAGAGAAAUUGCCCAGACACUGCAACGGGAGUUGCCAACAAAGUAACAGAGUCAGAGAAGAGCUGAGUCUUGGGAAUGAAAAAGUGAUGAGGGGAUGACUUCCACAGUGGGUAUCCGGUCAUUUGGGCUGCUGCUCUGCCCUCAUCAAAGUGAUUUCCACUCUGUGAGUCUCUGAUAUGCAGCUAUAGAACCUGUUGCCUGUUUCCUAAUUUAUCCAUGUGGGCCUGUCACCCUCAUCACCUCAGCAAAGAAGCCUUUGCUAAUUUCACAACAGGAAAGCAUGCAAGAAAUUCGAGAACAAAACAAAUCUACACGCAGAGCCCAGCAUCUUCAAGCAAACACCCUGAGAAAUCCCUUUUUCUCCCUUGAAAAAGUCAUCUCAGCUGCAAGCAAAAAAAGCUAUUCCUUACUGCAAUUAUGAAGCUAGAUAAUAAGAAAGUUGUUACCUUGAAACCCGCUCGAAAAACUGAAAGUCAAGAACAGUUCUUCCCUCCCCAUAAAGCCUCUGGUCCCAUGACCAGCAAUCCUUUCUCAAGGCUCAUUAGAGCAAAGAGCAACAGGUGACCCAAGCGAUGAGUUUCCUGCAGGAGACGCUGCGUUAUUGGUUGGAAGGCUGGGUGGAACCACAGAGGAGCUGCUCAAUGGGAACCGCUGCCUGGCUAUGAAUUGAUGAAAGUCAUCCACCAUUUCCCAACUUUGACUUCCUACCUUUGAAGUCUAAUGAGCAUGAAUUACCACAUCCAGACCGUCAAGAUUACCCCAAUGUAGAUGAGAGCCUGACCAAAUUAUUUUUAAACUGUGUAACAAAAUUAUUUUGAAAUCAAAACAAGGGCUAAUCCUUUGAAAGGAAGAAUUUCUCUUCGCUCCUCACCCCAUCCUCCAUUACUACCAAACCUGGAGUUCCAGAGAGAAUGUUGCAGGAAGUCAGGGACCCGGAAAAGAGGGACUGACUGAAGCCAUGGCAGGAGAACAUAAAUUGUGAAGAUUUCAUGGACAUUUAUUAGUUCCCCAAAUUAAAACUUUUAUAAUUUCUUAUGCCUGUCUUUACUGCAAUCUGUGAACAUAAAUUGUGAAGAUUUCAUGGACAUUUAUCACUUCCCUAAUCAAUACUCUUGUGAUUUCCUAUACCUGUCUUUAAUCUCUUAAUCCCAUCAUCUUCAUAAGCUGAGGAUGUAUGUCCACUCAGGAUCCUGUCAUGAUUGCGUUAACUGCACAAAUUGUUUGUAACCAUGUGUGUUUAAACAAUAUGAAAUCUGGGCACCUUGAAAAAAGAACAGGAUAACAGUGAUGUUCAUGGAACAAGGGCGAUAACCAUUAGGUCUGGCUGCCUGAGAGCCAGGUGGAACAGAGCCAUAUUUCUCUUCUUUCAAAAGUAAAUAGGAGAAAUAUUGCUGAAUUCCUUUUCUCAGCAAGGAACAGCCCUGAGAAAGAGAAUGCAUUCCCAGGGGUAGGUCUCUAAACUGGCCGCUCUGGGAAUGUCUGUCUUUUAUGGUUGAAGAUAAGGGAUGAAAUAAGCCCUGGUCUCCAGUAGCACUCCCAGGCCUAUUACGGUGAGUAAAUUCUCACCUAGUAAAUUUUUAGUCAGACUGGUUGUCUGCUCUCAAACCCUGUCUCCUGAUAAGAUGU